rnacentral:lncRNA from 1 species
CAAGGGUGCGCAGAGCCAUUCAAACCAGGCACCUGGAGCCCUGCAAAGGUCGGCGCUAUGAAGGAUGUCUGGCCAGCUGUUUGAAAUGGAAUUUGCACGAAGGUUUUCCAGGAAGGACACUAAAAGCUGAUCACAGGCUUGCUGUGAAAUCAUCAAAGAGAAUUAACCACUGAAGAUAUCUGGAAUACAGGGCUUGUCUAGGUGGUUCUCUCCCAAGUUUGGUCGAACCCAGGAGCCAGGCAAUUAGAUACUAAAAGAAGAUGGCUUAAAAUACGAAAGAAACCAUUUGCCUAGAGGAUGCCUCACAGCAAAAGUCUUUAUAUAACUCCCAACUCAUCUUUUCCUGUGACCUCAUCGACUGGUCCUUGUCACAUCAGACCAUCACCAGUUAUCCGUCAACUCCGUGCUCACUCUGACUGUGUAUUGACUUGGACCUGGCACCGGACUUGGUUCUGAGGAUACAUAGGCCAAGGGAAGACCUAAAGACUACUACUGUAGAGAAGGAUGGUACUGAAGGAUGCUACUGUGAGAAGGAUGCUACUGUGAGAAGGAUGCUACUGACCUGCUUUAAACACCCCAACUUCUUGCCAAGCCUGGGCGGGAUCUUAAUGAGUAGCAUCUACUUAAGCUCAAGGCUGUAUCCCUGGAGCUGGAGGAGACAAGCAGUGACUCCUUAGCCUUAGAAACCAGGCCAAGCCAUCACUGUCAAAAAUCUUAGGUGGAUGUGUGUGGGAAGCCACAUGUGAUAUUGCAGAGUAGCGCUGGCUACUGCUGGCCACCACACUUAAGUUUGGACAAAGAACCAAUGUGUACAUAUGCAGUAAAGCUUUUUGCCAAGACACUGCCUGGCCCGGGCAUGAUAAUGAGGUUUUGAGAGUAUAACCAAUUAGAUGUGAGACAUGCAAAUGAGGUAUGAUAAUGAGGCUCUGUGAGGUACAGAGAGAGAGAGAGUAGCCAAUCAGAUGAGGAACAUGCAAAUGAGGUAUAGUGCAUAACCAAUCCGGGUGUGAGACAUGCCUCUCCUAGGCCUAUAUAAGCAGCACCAGUUCUGGGCUGGGGUCUCUUCGCCUCUGCAAUCAAGCUUUCCCAAUAAACGUGUGCAGAAGGA